CUUUUGCCGGGAACAGAAAGGAAUGGAGUCUUAGAACUUAGCCCCAGUCAGGAUCACCUCCGCUGUACUAUCCACUCCUGCCUGCUUGUGGAUCCCCAGGCCCUUGGAGAGACCUCUGAACCGGCAAAACAGCUGAGCUAGCUUCCCAUGGACCAUGACAAUUUGGAUUUUGGAAACUAAUAAACGGUCAGUUAAAAGCAGCAGUAAUGAUAUCGCCAGUCAAGAAGAUAUGACAGGUGAUCCUAGAGGGAGAUUGUUAAAAUGGAGACAUAAUUUCCAUAGCACUAUGAUGUCACACACUAGACUGUGAUAUCACUGUUGGCUACAGUAGAACAAAAGUCUGGAAUAUGCUUGAGGGAGACCUUAAUGGAACACAAAUAGUUUUGAUACUAUCAAAGGAAAAGAUGAAAUAAUUACAAUGGAACAGAUGAGCCCCUGCUGAUACCAUGUCAAUGUGCACAAGAGCAUAUAAGGAGCCAAGAGCACACUAACAUCAGAACUACAUUAAAGCUUUGAAGCCUGUCACAUGAAGCAGUUUUAUAAAAACAGACACAGUCUACUUUAUAUUCUGUUGGUGCAGCUUGUGUUAUCAGUUGUCUAGGUAAGUGCAGAGCAUUUGCUAAGAGCCUAGACAUCCACAUACUUCAGCAGUGGCGCAUCUGUCUGAAUGCUCUUUCAGACUUGUAUGUGGUUUUCAGGGGAAUUCUGCACAUAAAAGAAAAAAAGUCUUUCAGAUGUUUAUCAUGGAAAGACACUGGUAUGUCA